GUCUACGAACAUGCUACCCUGAACAAGCCUGAUCCCAUCUGAUCUCGGAAGCUAAGCAGGGUCAGACCUGGUUAGUACUUGGAUGGGAGACCACCGAGGAAGACUAGGUGCUGUAGGUG
rnacentral:rRNA from 1 species